GAUGAAGAACGUAGCGAAAUGCGAUAAGUAAUGUGAAUUGCAGAAUUCAGUGAAUCAUCGAAUCUUUGAACGCACAUUGCGCCCGUCAGUAUUCUGGCGGGCAUGCCUGUUCGAGCGUCAUUACGCCCCUCAAGUCCCAUGUGGACUUGGUGUUGGGGAUCGGCGAGGCUGGUUUUCCAGCACAGCCGUCCCUUAAAUUAAUUGGCGGUCUCGCCGUGGCCCUCCUCUGCGCAGUAGUAAAACACUCGCAACAGGAGCCCGGCGCGGUCCACUGCCGUAAAACCCCCCAACUUUUUAUAGUUGACCUCGAAUCAGGUAGGACUACCCGCUGAACUUAAGCAUAUCAAUAAGCGGAGGA
rnacentral:misc_RNA from 1 species